rnacentral:rRNA from 1 species
GCAUAUCAAUAAGCGGGAGGAAAGAAACCAACAGGAUUGCCUUUAGUAACUACGAGUGAAGCGGCAAAAGCUCAAAUUUGAAAAUCUGGCGCCUUUCGGCGUCGGAGUUGUAAUUUGGAGGGAUAUCUUCGGGGCUGGCGCCGUCCUAAGUUCCUUGGAACAGGACGUCACAGAGGGUGAGAAUCCCGUGCCUGGACGGAUGUCCAGCUCCAUGUGAAGUGUCUCCGACGAGUCGAGUUGUUUGGGAAUGCAGCUCAAAAUGGGUGGUAAAUUUCAUCUAAAGCUAAAUAUUGGCGAGAGACCGAUAGCGCACAAGUAGAGUGAUCGAAAGAUGAAAAGCACUUUGAAAAGAGAGUUAAAAAGUACGUGAAAUUGUUGAAAGGGAAGCGCUUGCGACCAGACUCGACCUUUGGCGAUCAGCCGGGCUUCGGCUCGGUGCCAUCGCCAUUGGUUGGGCCAGCAUCGGUUCCGACGGCGGGAUAAAAGGCGAAGGAAUGUGGCCUCUCUCGGGGGGUGUUAUAGCCUUCGCCACAAUGCCGCCAGUCGGGACCGAGGACCGCGCUUCGGCUAGGAUGCUGGCGUAAUGGUCUUAAGCGACCCGUCUUGAAACACGGACCAAGGAGUCUAACAUCUAUGCGAGUGUUCGGGUGGAAAACCCUUGCGCGUAAUGAAAGUGAACGGAGGUGGGAACCCUUCGGGGUGCACCAUCGACCGGUCCUGACGUCUUCUGAAGGAUCUGAGUAAGAGCAUAGCUGUUGGGACCCGAAAGCUGGUGAACUAUGCCUGAAUAGGGUGAAGCCAGAGGAAACUCUGGUGGAGGCUCGCAGCUGUUCUGACGUGCAAAUCCCAUCGUUAAAUUUGGGAUAUUAUGGGCGAAAGACUAAUCGAACCAUCUAGUAGCUGGUUUCCUGCCGAAGUU